rnacentral:rRNA from 1 species
UACGUAGGGGGCUAGCGUUGUCCGGAUUUAUUGGGCGUAAAGAGCGUGUAGGCGGCCAGAUAGGUCUGCUGUGAAAACUCGAGGCUCAACCUCGAGAUGUCGGCGGAAACCAUUUGGCUAGAGUCCGGAAGAGGAGAGUGGAAUUCCUGGUGUAGCGGUGAAAUGCGCAGAUAUCAGGAAGAACACCCGUGGCGAAGGCGGUUCUCUGGGACGGUACUGACGCUGAGACGCGAAAGCGUGGGGAGCGAACAGG